rnacentral:tRNA from 1 species
GGCUGAGUAGCUCAGAUGGUUAGAGCGCGGGACUCAUAAGCCUGAGGUCGGAGGUUCGAUUCCUCCCUCAGCCACCA